UAGCAGACACACAGGUCACCAGGGCGUCUAGAGCCGCGGAAGGACCAGGUCACCCGGGCCCUGAUCCCAGGGUGUCAGAUGGGCGAGCAUGGGUGAAGAGGAGCACGGUUAACCAGGAAAACCAGACAGAGUCAAGCAAGCCUCUCCCUGCCCCGGAAGUCUCCCCAGUUUGAUGUGGCACAACUAGGAUUCCAGCAGAUUCUGAAUCACCAUGCUCCUGCCCGUGCCUGCCGGCAGGUCGGUGAUCUUCAUGAGCAUCCUUGGGAACAUGUAGGGCUGACUGGGACGCCGACGCCGAGCGUACAGCCUCAGGGCUUCCAGCAGGGGCUCCUGCAGCUUGUCCACUUUCUCGGGCUCCUCCAGGUCCAUGCGAUCUACAGGGACAAGCGCAGUGGAGUGGAUCGGGUCAGGUGCGACAAUUCCGGCCGAGAGCAGUGAGGUCUC